CCUUGAUAUACGUAUAAGUUUUUAAAAAAAAUUUCUGAUGGACUCUUCAUCUUUAAAAGUUUUAAGUAUUUGAUUACUCUAAAGUUUUGAUGUAAGAGAAGCACCAAUUAUAGUAGAAUUUCAUAUUUGUAAAUACAUGUAUAUGUAAUGAUAGAAGAAAAUUGGAAAAUUAUACAUAGCUUUUGUUCUUGAGGACAAUUGACUUAGCAGACUAUAUUUUUCAGGUCCUAAAUGAGUAAUUUUAAGAUGAUUUAUUAUUGUGAAUUCAAUUGUUUACAUAAACCUUGUUUGUUUCAUAGUGAUCAUGUUGAAGUAAUUGCUGCUUCCGUUUAAGUUUAUUAAAUGUUUAGAGAAGUCUUUCAGUGCUAAGUUUUGAAUUAUUCAUGUUAAAAAUAAUGAUUAUGUCUGUUGUGAUGGUAAAGUGUAAUUUUGAUGGGAAAAUGCAACAAAUUCAGGGCAUGAAUUCCCAAAUUGAUGGUGUGAAAUUAUGCAGUGGAGGGCAAAUGUCAUGCUACAGAUAUUUAAAUGUAUAAAUUAGCAUCAAAUGACCUAUUAAUGCGUACAAAUAUUCGAAAACAAUAUUAUCUUGCAUGUCAGGUAGAUUUGGAUUUCAACUUAUCAGAAAUUCAAGUACAAGUGUUUUUGUUUAUUUAAAUAGCAUCAUGUUCAGUAUCUUUUCAUGAAGCAUAUAAAAAAAACCCUUUACCAAUACAAAUGUAUAACAUAAAAUUUUAGGGUUUUUUUUUUUUUUAUUUUCCUUUAUGUAUAUAAACCUAAUGCUGGUAUUUAUUUUUUAAAAAAUGACACCAUUACUACUUAUAUUUUCCUUUUAUUCAAAGUUGUGAAUUGGAAGUCAAUUUUUCUAUAUUUUGUCUCAGCUAUCUUUCAUACCUAACACUCACAAUGCAAUGAUAAAUGGUUUGCAGGUGUGCUUUUUUUCAAUUUGUUGUUUUGUAUUCUCAAGUUCAUGCUUAAAUUGUAAAAUAAUUGAUUGUAUCAUUGACUUAUUUUUAAUUAUAAAUUCUUUGACAAUAUACAUGACAUUAUCAUUAUCAUUACUUGUUUUAUAUCAAUACACAUCAUUUAAAAUACCUUUGAAAGGUCCUUAUCAUAAUCUUAUUAGUGGUCAACAUUAGAAGAUCAUGAUUUCUGUAAUUGUUCUCACUGUAAGCUGCAAAAGUUUCAUUUCGUUUGGCAGAUGUUCCAUUGAGCAAUUGCAAUUUCAGUGGUUAUUUUAAAAAGUGUUUAUAGUUAAAUAUAUAUAAAUACUGUAAGUGCUAUUCUUUGAAGAAACAGGCAAUAAAACUUCCACAAAAUUGAAGAAUCAUGAAACUUUUGUUCACAUUAAUGAAGAAAACAGUGCAUCAAAGAGUUUGCUUUGCUUUCUUAACUUUUUUUGUACUAAAACAACUUAUAACAUCAUUUCAUACUGAAAUAUUUGCCAAUGGGCAUUAUGAAAACAACAAUUAGUCAAUAUUUAUAUACAUAGUUAAAGUCAUAACGUUCAUUUUAGUUAAUUAAGUCAUUAAACAAAUUCCUGAGUUUAUUUAUACAUCCAUCUGUGUGGUAACAUGUUGUAUGCUUUCAAAAUUGUUUAUAGUCACUGGGGCCUAGAAUACAAAUUCAGUACUUUGGUGGAAACCCAAUUUUUACCCACAAAUAUCUUCAGCUAGUUUAGGUCAACAAAAAUCCAUGUCAUCAAGUGGUUGAAAUUUGAUGUGAAAAUUAUGUGCAAUAUAUAUGUAUAUAAAGGUUUUAUUGAAUUUUUAGAUCAUCACAAAUAUUUUAUAAAACUUCUAUGAAUGAAAUAAAAUGGUAAAAUAUUUAUGA
rnacentral:lncRNA from 1 species